rnacentral:rRNA from 1 species
CUGGCGGCGUGCCUAAUACAUGCAAGUCCAGCGAAGUUUUUUCUGGUGCUUGCACUACAAAAACUUAGCGGCGAACGGGUGAGUAACACGUAAAGAACCUGCCUCAUAGACUGGGACAACUAUUGGAAACGAUAGCUAAUACCGGAUAACAGCAUUAACUGCAUGGUUUGAUGUUUUGAAAGUUUGGUUUUUGCUAACACUAUGAGAUGGCUUUUGCGGUGCAUUAGCUAGUUGGUGGGUAAAGGCCUACCAAGGCGACGAUGCAUAGCCGACCUGAGAGGGUGAUCGGCCACACUGGGACUGAGACACGGCCCAGACUCCUACGGGAGGCAGCAGUAGGGAAUCUUCCGCAAUGGGCGAAAGCCUGACGGAGCAACGCCGCGUGAGUGAAGAAGGAUUUCGGUUCGUAAAGCUCUGUUGUUAGGGAAGAAUGAUUAUGUAGUAACUAUACAUAGUAGAGACGGUACCUAACCAGAAAGCCACGGCUAACUACGUGCCAGCAGCCGCGGUAAUACGUAGGUGGCAAGCGUUGUCCGGAAUUAUUGGGCGUAAAGCGCGCGCAGGUGGUUUAAUAAGUCUGAUGUGAAAGCCCACGGGCUCAACCGUGGAGGGUCAUUGGAAACUGUUAAACUUGAGUGCAGGAGAGAAAAGUGGAAUUCAUAGUGUAGCGGUGAAAUGCGUAGAGAUUAGGAGGAACACCAGUGGCGAAGGCGGCUUUUUGGCCUGUAACUGACACUGAGGCGCGAAAGCGUGGGGAGCAAACAGGAUUAGAUACCCUGGUAGUCCACGCCGUAAACGAUGAGUGCUAAGUGUUGGUCUCAUAAGAGAUCAGUGCUGCAGCUAACGCAUUAAGCACUCCGCCUGGGGAGUACGACCGCAAGGUUGAAACUCAAAGGAAUUGACGGGGACCCGCACAAGCGGUGGAGCAUGUGGUUUAAUUCGAGGCAACGCGAAGAACCUUACCAAGUCUUGACAUACUGUGAGGACACAAGAGAUUGUGUUGUUCUGACCUUUGGUUAGACACAGAUACAGGUGGUGCAUGGUUGUCGUCAGCUCGUGUCGUGAGAUGUUGGGUUAAGUCCCGCAACGAGCGCAACCCUUAUAUCUAGUUGCCAGCAGUAAGAUGGGGACUCUAGAUAGACUGCCAGUGAUAAACUGGAGGAAGGUGGGGAUGACGUCAAAUCAUCAUGCCCCUUAUGACUUGGGCUACACACGUGCUACAAAUGGAUAGGAACAAAAGAGAAGCGAGCUCGCGAGAGUAAGCAAAACCUCACAAAACUAUUCUCAGUUCGGAUUGUAGUCUGCAAACUCGACUACAAUGAAAGCUGGAAAUCGCUAGUAAUCGCGAAAUCAGAAAUGUCGCGGUGAAAUACGUUUCCCGGGUCUUGCACACACCGCCCGUCA